GCCUAGGAAGCAAAGGUUAGCAGUGGUUUUGUAAAUCGAAGGUGGCAAGUAGUAUUGCUCUAGGCU
rnacentral:tRNA from 1 species